UUUAUGGAGAGUUUGAUCCUGGCUCAGGAUGAACGCUGGCGGCGUGCCUAAUACAUGCAAGUCGAGCGAACGGACGAGAAGCUUGCUUCUCUGAUGUUAGCGGCGGACGGGUGAGUAACACGUGGAUAACCUACCUAUAAGACUGGGAUAACUUCGGGAAACCGGAGCUAAUACCGGAUAAUAUUUUGAACCGCAUGGUUCAAAAGUGAAAGACGGUCUUGCUGUCACUUAUAGAUGGAUCCGCGCUGCAUUAGCUAGUUGGUAAGGUAACGGCUUACCAAGGCAACGAUGCAUAGCCGACCUGAGAGGGUGAUCGGCCACACUGGAACUGAGACACGGUCCAGACUCCUACGGGAGGCAGCAGUAGGGAAUCUUCCGCAAUGGGCGAAAGCCUGACGGAGCAACGCCGCGUGAGUGAUGAAGGUCUUCGGAUCGUAAAACUCUGUUAUUAGGGAAGAACAUAUGUGUAAGUAACUGUGCACAUCUUGACGGUACCUAAUCAGAAAGCCACGGCUAACUACGUGCCAGCAGCCGCGGUAAUACGUAGGUGGCAAGCGUUAUCCGGAAUUAUUGGGCGUAAAGCGCGCGUAGGCGGUUUUUUAAGUCUGAUGUGAAAGCCCACGGCUCAACCGUGGAGGGUCAUUGGAAACUGGAAAACUUGAGUGCAGAAGAGGAAAGUGGAAUUCCAUGUGUAGCGGUGAAAUGCGCAGAGAUAUGGAGGAACACCAGUGGCGAAGGCGACUUUCUGGUCUGUAACUGACGCUGAUGUGCGAAAGCGUGGGGAUCAAACAGGAUUAGAUACCCUGGUAGUCCACGCCGUAAACGAUGAGUGCUAAGUGUUAGGGGGUUUCCGCCCCUUAGUGCUGCAGCUAACGCAUUAAGCACUCCGCCUGGGGAGUACGACCGCAAGGUUGAAAC
rnacentral:rRNA from 1 species